rnacentral:rRNA from 1 species
AUUGAACGCUGGCGGCAGGCCUAACACAUGCAAGUCGAGCGAGCGGCGGACGGGUGAGUAAUGUCUGGGAAACUGCCUGAUGGAGGGGGAUAACUACUGGAAACGGUAGCUAAUACCGCAUACCAUCAGAUGUGCCCAGAUGUGAUUGGCUAGUAGGUGGGGUAACGGCUCACCUAGGCGACGAUCCCUAGCUGGUCUGAGAGGAUGACCAGGCACACGGCAACAGAGAAACAGCCCAGACUCGUAGGGGGGGAAGAAGUGGGGAAUAUGGAAAAAUGGGCGCAAGCCUGAUGCAGCCAUGCCGGGGGGGUGAAGAGGGCCUUGGGGUUGUAAAGCUCGUUCGGGGGGAGGGCGUGGCCCGAAGAAGAAGCCCCGGCUAACUCCGGGCCAGCAGCCGGGGUAAGUG